AGCGAACGCUGGCGGCAGGCCUAAACAUGCAAGUCGAACGCCAUAGCAAUACGGAGUGGCAGACGGGUGAGUAACACGUGGGAACAUACCCUUUGGUUCGGAACAACACAGGGAAACUUGUGCUAAUACCGGAUAAGCCCUUACGGGGAAAGAUUAUCGCCGAAGGAUUGGCCCGCGUCUGAUUAGCUAGUUGGGUGGGGAACGGCCCGACCAACGCUACGAUCAGUAGCUGGUCUGAGAGGAUGAUCAGCCACACU
rnacentral:rRNA from 1 species